GGUUAAGCGACUAAGCGUACACGGUGGAUGCCCUGGCAGUCAGAGGCGAUGAAGGACGUGCUAAUCUGCGAUAAGCGUCGGUAAGGUGAUAUGAACCGUUAUAACCGGCGAUUUCCGAAUGGGGAAACCCAGUGUGUUUCGACACACUAUCAUUAACUGAAUCCAUAGGUUAAUGAGGCGAACCGGGGGAACUGAAACAUCUAAGUACCCCGAGGAAAAGAAAUCAACCGAGAUUCCCCCAGUAGCGGCGAGCGAACGGGGAGGAGCCCAGAGCCUGAAUCAGUGUGUGUGUUAGUGGAAGCGUCUGGAAAGGCGCGCGAUACAGGGUGACAGCCCCGUACACAAAAAUGCACAUGCUGUGAGCUCGAUGAGUAGGGCGGGACACGUGGUAUCCUGUCUGAAUAUGGGGGGACCAUCCUCCAAGGCUAAAUACUCCUGACUGACCGAUAGUGAACCAGUACCGUGAGGGAAAGGCGAAAAGAACCCCGGCGAGGGGAGUGAAAAAGAACCUGAAACCGUGUACGUACAAGCAGUGGGAGCACGCUUAGGCGUGUGACUGCGUACCUUUUGUAUAAUGGGUCAGCGACUUAUAUUCUGUAGCAAGGUUAACCGAAUAGGGGAGCCGAAGGGAAACCGAGUCUUAACUGGGCGUUAAGUUGCAGGGUAUAGACCCGAAACCCGGUGAUCUAGCCAUGGGCAGGUUGAAGGUUGGGUAACACUAACUGGAGGACCGAACCGACUAAUGUUGAAAAAUUAGCGGAUGACUUGUGGCUGGGGGUGAAAGGCCAAUCAAACCGGGAGAUAGCUGGUUCUCCCCGAAAGCUAUUUAGGUAGCGCCUCGUGAACUCAUCUCCGGGGGUAGAGCACUGUUUCGGCAAGGGGGUCAUCCCGACUUACCAACCCGAUGCAAACUGCGAAUACCGGAGAAUGUUAUCACGGGAGACACACGGCGGGUGCUAACGUCCGUCGUGAAGAGGGAAACAACCCAGACCGCCAGCUAAGGUCCCAAAGUCAUGGUUAAGUGGGAAACGAUGUGGGAAGGCCCAGACAGCCAGGAUGUUGGCUUAGAAGCAGCCAUCAUUUAAAGAAAGCGUAAUAGCUCACUGGUCGAGUCGGCCUGCGCGGAAGAUGUAACGGGGCUAAACCAUGCACCGAAGCUGCGGCAGCGAC
rnacentral:rRNA from 1 species